CCAGUAGGAACCCAACAGCAGCUGAAAAACCUAAUGAAUAUUUUCUUUUACAAAAUAAAAUUUCCUUGCAAUCACAGCUUUCCUUGUCUGAAUCCUGCUGCACUUCCAAGGUACUUAUCCAGAAUGCUCCAGUGAAAAUACCCUGCUGUUUCAAUGACAAAAAAACGGAUGGUCCCUGAAAAUCACGGAUAUUGAAAGUCACCAUGAGCAAAGGCAUUAGCUUAAAAAAGAACAAAAGUCCUUGUUGGUUAAUUUAAUCGACUUCCUCUAUAAAUGCGUAAAGAAAAUAAAACAACAAAAGUUAAACAAAUUUGCCCCAAACUCUUAGCUACAGCCCCAUAUAUAUUUUCUCGUGUCAACUGCACCAAAAAGCACUGGUACACUCUACUUUCCGUGUUAUAGACUUGCUGAACUGCAUUAACGCUUACUUUUGAGUAUUGUGUUUACGAAAUGCUGUAAAUCUGUGCUCUAUUUUGUCUUUAAUAUGUAAUAUAUGUGCUUGCUUUUGUGCUUUACAUAGAUCAGAAAAUACUGCUGAUCGCUCCAUUCGUCCUGGUUGUGCUGGUGGCUGCAAUAAUCUUCAUAUUCAGGAAGAAAUGUAUAAAGGUUUACAAAGACACUGUCUUACCUGAGAAUGGAGUGGAGAAUAGGGUAUAUGGUAAAAAUGGUGACAUCGUUCUUCUGGGCGUGACACCAUGUGGUCCUGAAGGGAGAGACAACUUCUACUGCUACAUUCCAGAUGGUAAACAAUCCAUAUCCUCCCUGCUUCUCUAAUUUCUCAGGUGAAAUGUCAAAUAACUGCUUAAAACUGUUAGUAGGAUCCUUUCUCCCUUACCCCUCUUCCUACUAUUACUGACUAUGGAUCAAAAAGUCAUU
rnacentral:lncRNA from 1 species